rnacentral:rRNA from 1 species
GACGAACGCUGGCGGCGUGCUUAACACAUGCAAGUCGAACGGAAAGGCCCUGCUUUUGUGGGGUGCUCGAGUGGCGAACGGGUGAGUAACACGUGAGUAACCUGCCCUUGACUUUGGGAUAACUUCAGGAAACUGGGGCUAAUACCGGAUAGGAGCUCCUGCUGCAUGGUGGGGGUUGGAAAGUUUCGGCGGUUGGGGAUGGACUCGCGGCUUAGCAGCUUGUUGGUGGGGUAGUGGCUUACCAAGGCUUUGACGGGUACCCGGCAUGGGAGGGUGACCGGGGUCAUUGGUACUGAGAUAGGGACCAGACGGCUACGGGAGGCAGCAGUGGGGAAUAUUGCACAAUGGGCGGAAGCGUGAUGCAGCAACGCCGCGUGUGGGAUGACGUCCUUCGGGUAGUAAACCGCUUUCGCCUGUGACGAAGCGUGAGUGACGGUACUGGGUAAAGAAGCACCGGCUAACUACGUG